UCUGAAACAGUCCAGAAACGUCCU
rnacentral:snRNA from 1 species